CGACUCCUCCACUGAAUUCAAUCAGGUUAAAACUGUCAAGCCAUAUACUUUUCUGCCUUCUAUAAGAAUAAAUGAUGGUCAAAUGUUCUUUCUUCCAGGAACAUAAAUCUUAAGCAGACUUACAUAAGGAAGGGAAGUGGUAGAAUCUGAGGUAUUUCCAUGGUGGUCUUUGAAGAAAGCCUUCCAUGAGUUCCCAGUCCAUAUCCUCCAAAGGGUUUCUUGGAUAUGCUUUAUUUAUGCCUAAUUUUCCAGUUUUCUCUUUAAUAUUUUAUUCUCUCUCUUUUUUUUGCUUCACUUAGAAUUUCUUUCAGCCAAUGAAGAAUUCUAAUGAGAAACACGUAUCUGUAAUUUUGAAUAUUCCAGAAUAGUUAUGAUCUAAACAUUACAUCCUGCUGUAUCCCUAAGUACUUGAAAUCUGGAUAUUCCAACUUCAACAACGAGAUCUUAAAAUUACAGCAUAUCAACUCCUGCUUUCCAAACAAACUUCCUGGGUCUUGGGAAGAAGAAAGUCUCAGACUAAGAACUCUCUCUGGAAUCAGACAGCCUGAAUUCAAAUCCCAUCUCUAUUUUUACUAGUCAUAUGAACACGGAUCACAAACUCAUCAGAAGCAGAUGCCACGUGUUAUACUGUUACGUAUCUCUCAGAGACUCCAGCACUUUGAAAGUACUAGGCCUUGCUAUUGAUAUGAAUAUUUUUUUCUAGGCAUGUCCCAAAGUUCUCAGCAUAGCUACAACCCUGAUUUUCACAGGAUUUUCAUUAAAAUUAGGUUCUAGAGCAUUACUUCCCUAAUGUGCGAUGCAACUUACAUUUACUUUUCAAAUCAAAAUUAGUUUUGUUUUUCCGCUGUCUUUAUCUUUGAAAAUAUUGAACUUGGGAUUUCCAAAACUAUAAUUAGCAAUUAUUUUUACGUAUCUUUUAUAUACAUAACUUUUACAAUGGCUGCCAUUAUCAUGUAUUCUUAGGAAGUGUUUCUGAUCCUUGUAAAUAAAAAUGAAAGAAGAAAUCUUUACUGCUUGCUGACCCAUGUGACUAACCUUGAAAUCAGAGAGGCAGAUUCAUUUAAAACAAACUUGCAAACUGUUAAGCAAAGUACUGAAUCUCUGUGACUUGACCAAAAGUAAUUCAGACUUGACUAUUCCAGGCUCCCUUCUAUCUCUGUAGCAACCCAUGCAUCAUAGACUGCAGUUGCAAAGGAUGGUCAAGGAAUCUGCUGUGCCUUUUGAGUCUCUCCAUUUUAUAUUGCCAAAUUUAUCUUCCUUUAAUACUUCACUUCAUAUAAGACACUAAGAUAAACAAGGAUGCAACUCACUUAUAUUUCAAAAUAGAACCUAGUGGUUAAAAGUACUUGUUCUGAAAGCAACUCUAUUUUUCUAGUUCUAACAUGUCUUCAACCAGUUAUCUCACCUUGAGCUUGGCACAUACUCACUCCGUCUUACUUUUGCAUCUGUGACACAAGAAAAAUACCACCCACCUCAACAUAGAUCUUAUGGAGAUUAAAAUGAGAUUAUGAAAGUAAAAUGUUCAGCACAAUGUCUAACCUAAAAUAAAUGUUCAGCAAGUAGGAGCUACUAUAAUUAUUAUCCAGAUCAAAUAUUUUCUCCUCCAUGAAGCUUUCUUAUUCUUCCCCAGCUGGAAUUACUUAUUUUCUUCCUUGCUUUCUAUACCACACUUUAGUCACCACCAUGCUGGCACUUGUCUCACUGCAUUAUAAUUAUUUAUGUGCCUGUGUUCCGUAACCAGAAUAUGGGACUUAAGCUUCUUUAUACCUCCAGCAUAAUUGUUUCAUGUGUGCUCUUAGGUAAUGGAAUAAAAUGGAUGGAUGAA